CUUUGUCUGAAUGUGUAUAAAGGAUCUGUGAAAUUUGUGUAAGACCGAGUUUUUGUACCAAGGUGCAAAGCUCUCCUUUCUUCUGCAGAAUAAAGCAACUCUUCCUUAUCCCUGUCUAGCUGUUAUUGGCUCUCAGCUAGGUGGACCUGAUAUUUUGGUGACAGUUUCUGGUGAUUCCACCAGGACUCUCCUAGCUCAGACAUUGGACUCCGGACGGCUGUGGCGAACUGGGAACGGCGCCAAUGUGGUGUUUCGCCCCUUUUCUCUGCUUCACCGCGGCCCCUGGGGUUCGUGUUCCGAUAAGGUUUCUUUUCUCACAGAUAGAAGAAGUGCUACCCAAAGACCCUAGUAGCCCUGCCGUUCAUUGAAACAAGGAGACUGAGUCUAUGUAAAGAUCCACCAACAAAAGACUGCUUUGGCUCCAUGCUGGAAAGGCCCUUUCCAAGUCCUGUUAACCACCAACACCGCUGUGAAGUGCCAAGGACUGCCUACCUGGACCCAUGCUUCUCACUGUAAAAAGACCCCUCCACCUCGGGAGGACUCUCCGACUGAUAAGCCUAUUUCUCCUUCUAGCUCUGCUGUGCCUUCUGGACAGCAGGAAAAAGGAAAAAAAGACAAGGUGAAGUGCUAGUAACCUCUCCCUUGUCCACUGACAGACCUACUGUGCCUUUGAAUUUUUUUAGAAGACACAAAACCAUUACGGGGUGAUGUGCUAGUAACCUCUCCCCUGUAUGAUGCUGAACCAUGACUGUUUCAGGAAAAGAGAAGAAGGAACACUUGCUCCAUUGAAACCACCAAAGUCCAGAUAAAAUGUACUUCCCUAUUCACCAAACAACACCCAUGUGCCCUGUAAUAUGUCAUAAUACUUGUUCCUGCAAGUGGCCUACUUUUGAGAAUAUUCAACAUCAGACUCUUUCAACAGGUCAGCUCCCAGACUGCUGCACUGUACAGCACAGUAUGGGGAGAAGGUGACCAACCCUCUGUGGAGAAAGAAGUGGUUCGGGACUAUUUAGAAAAACUGGACGAGCAGAAGUCCAUGGGGCCGGAAGCGCUGCAUCUGAGGGUGCUAAAGGAAUUGGCGGAUGUGAUUGCAGAGCCAUUGGCCAUUAUCUUUGAAAACUCAUGGCGAUCGGGGGAGGUCCCGGAUGACUGGAAAAAGGCUAAUGUAGUGCCCAUCUUUAAAAAAGGGAAGAAGGAGGAUCCGGGAAACUACAGAACCAGGGGAGAGGGUGAAGGGAAAGCACUCUAACAUCUUGGUGUCCUGACUCAGCUACAUCACACUGGACAGGUAAGUAGCAGCCAGGUAAGUUCCCCUCCCCAACAUUCCAUGUAUCUGCUUGGAGGGGGUAUGGUAGGCUUUCAUGAUGGCAAGCUGGGGUAACGGUAUUUUUGGAUAAGUGGAUAUAGAAGAAUCAAGGCCCAUUCCAGGUAUGGGGUUCAACCUGGGAUGACAUUAAAAAGGAAAUGUGGACAGUGUUAUGGAAUCCAGAGGGAUGGGGACUGGCUGAGUAGCCCACUCUCCUUGGUAAAUGGGUAGCAGAAGGAUGUCUGUGCCCAUGGGGACAGGAUGCCUUCCAGGUAAAGGAGGCACUUAAGUUCACUUGUAAGAGGUUAGAAGUAAAGACAACAUUAUGGAAGGCUGCCAAUAAUUUUUCAAGUUCGGUGCAACUCCAGCAAAGGCAACUGGAGGAUUGUAAAUUAGAAUUAGGGGUGGCUAAAGAUAAUUUGUCAAAACAGGGUUUGGAGUCAGAAGCAGAGUUAACAGACCACAUUAAGAGAUGGGAGCUGCAACUUGAUCCUAGGGGAAUGAAGAAAAAAAAGUUUCAAAGUGGAAAAGUGGAGAGUGACAGGGUUAACACAUGGAGUUGCUUGGAAGCAGUUAACUGCAACAGAGAAGGGCACUCCUGUAAUUCACUUGGGGUGCAAACAAAUGCAACAGACACUGGGGGAACAAAUUCAUGGUUUGCAAGAAGGGAUAACAACCUCAACUCUUCUCUCAGAGCCAGGAUAAAAACCUGGGGGUAAGGGUUCCCAACUGUUUAAAUGUAGAGAGUCCUACCCUUUGCUCAGAGGUAACUAUAUCCUUUUUUCCUUCUUCUUCUUCUUAAUUUGCUUAAUUUGCUGCUGUUAGCCUGUACUUUAAACUAACUUCACAGGGUUAACUGGUUGCUUUCCACCCCUCCCCCCCCCCCGCCUCUCUCACACUUUUUGUUUUUCUGAAGUUUUAAUGGAAGGUACUUUAGAUACUUAUGUGAAAUGUGUGUGUGGGGGGGGGGUGCGGAUAUUGGACAAAGCAUGACAGAGGUCUGCUGUAUUCCAUUGAAAUUUUUGGAGUAAAAGACCCAUGGGUGACCAUGGAAACAAAUGUUUUACUGCCUUUUUAAAUGAUCCCCAGGUAAAGGAAGCACAGGGAAAGGCAGCUGUGUUGCAGGGAUUGUACUUAGUGGCUAAGUUGCCCCAGGCAAAAUGUACCACCUUAAAGAAUUGAAUGCGGAAGUAAGUGAUUUAAAGUGAGUGAGGAGUUACAAGUAGCUGUUGUAAAUAAUUAAUACUACAGAGUUUGGAGGGAGUUUGGAGGGAAAUAAACAGUUGGGAGUUGUGGAAAUGUUAAAAAGUAACGGUUGUGAAGAUGUUAAAGAGUAACAGUUGUGGUAUUAUGAAAGGGGAAUUCGUGGUUUGAUAAUAAUACCCAGUUAUGUAAAUGUAAUUAUAUGUAAGCAGAGUCAGGAUGAGCUCUACCCUGACAUCUGGUGGUGAAUUAUGGCGAGUGUGGAAAAGAACUCCAGGGGCUGAUCUUGUUUGCAUAGGCACACCCACCUGCCUGGCAUGAGACAACAGCAACUGAUAGUGGUUACUUUGGAUGGGGUGGGAUCCCCAGUUUCUCUGUUAUUGGGGCAGGAGGAAUAAAGUGUUGUUACCCUGAUUAUGUGAAUUAAGGACAAUGAAACUGUUUUAUGACAGAGUGUCUCACCAUCAUCUAAGUAGCACUCGCUAGACAUGGGACAUGGGUUCCACAACCCAGUGAAUAUGGACAGACUGACCCACCCUACUAAGAGCUGAAAUCACAAAAGAGCUAAAGUUAUUAAGAGCUGAGAUCAUUGAGUGCUAUGUUAAAUAGUGGGGGAGCCUCAAGCUAUAUUGCUAAGCGGCUGGAGGAGCAGCGAGUGGCGUGGAGCCUUGCGGGGACGGUUGGAGCGACCCAAGGAACGGCAAGUGGAGCCGUUUGUGGGGACGGCUGGAGCGGCUCUCAGGUCGAUCCAAACCAUGCAUCAGUUCCACUGGGACUCCAUCUUCUCCUGACUGAUCGUGCUGGGGGCUCUGCCUGUCUCCAGCACUCAGGACCCUGAGCUACCACCAUCACCUGGGAACCCCGACCAGAUCAAGCCUCAUGGAGUGGAUCCUGCAAUGUGAAGUGGCAAAGGGAGGAAACACAUGGACCACUACACCACCAAAUUAUGGUAAUAUGGAUGCCACGCUGGAAGGAUCCUGAUUUAAGCUGGUUGCAGCCUGGAGCCAGAAAUACUUACCUACAGGUACUUAUCAUUGGGCACUGUCAGAAGACAAGAUACUGGGCUAGAUGCACCUUUGGUCUGACCCAGAAUGGCCGAUCCUAUGUUCUUAUGUUUAUAGCAGUAACAAAUUGUUCCACCCUUGCAUGUUGGCUCAGCCAAGGCUCUGACCAAACCCUGUCCCUGCCUGCUCACCUGUGCAAGAGGGAGAGUAAUCACCUUUAGGAGACCUGUCUGCCUUUACAUUGUUACCCACAAUAUAAGCAAUCCACUCAAAGGAGUAAGAGGACAUCUUAUGCCAAUCUAGAGGGGAAUAUCAGUAAUAGUAGGAGUGACAUAUCCAACUGCCUGGGUUGUUGGGAGGUCAAACAACAAGUAGCACUCAGGGGAUAAAGGUCUUUCAUCCAUACAGGUAGCUGUGGAUUGGUGCUAUUUAAGAAUGGAAAUGGGCUUUACCAAGAGCACCGCAGAAUCAUUGUUCUUGGAGUCUGGAUAUGGGCCUGAUUCAUCACUGUGCAACCCCUAUGUUAUGCUGGUGCAACUCACUGAGCCUGAUUCUCAGUGAAGCCACUGGCAAUGGAAAAUAAAGUACAACUAUG